rnacentral:piRNA from 1 species
UAUAGAUGAGGUGGCCUCCCC